GACGAACGCUGGCGGCGUGCUUAACACAUGCAAGUCGAACGGAAAGGCCCUGCUUUUGUGGGGUGCUCGAGUGGCGAACGGGGGAGUAACACGUGAGUAACCUGCCCUUGACUUUGGGAUAACUUCAGGAAACUGGGGCUAUUACCGGGUAUGAGCUCCUGCUGCAUGGGGUGGGUUGGAAAGUUUCGGCGGUUGGGGAUGGACUCGCGGCUUAUCAGCUUGUUGGUGGGGUAGUGGCUUACCAGGGUUUUGACGGGUAGCCGGCCUGAGAGGGUGACCGGCCACAUUGGGACUGAGAUACGGACCAGACUCCUACGGGAGGCAGCAGUGGGGAAUAUUGCACAAUGGGCGGAAGCCUGAUGCAGCAACGCCGCGUGCGGGAUGACGGCCUUCGGGUUGUAAACCGCUUUCGCCUGUGACGAAGAGUGAGUGACGGUAAUGGGUAAAGAAGCACCGGCUAACUACGUG
rnacentral:rRNA from 1 species